rnacentral:lncRNA from 1 species
AUCCUAACUAGAAUAUUAUGAAGUUCUUAUACUACAAAGUUCUAGUUAGAUGACAUACCUUUUGAUGUAGCUUGAUGUCUUCAAGCUUUAAGAGCUUAGCCCCAAUAGUGUGGAAGCCUCAAGUGGAAUCACAAAUCACCAAAACACCUUGGAAGACUUUAGAGAAUAUGGAUACUUGGUUCUCUCUAGUGAAAUCGGCUAGCCCUUCUUAGUGUACCACACUAGUGCCAAUUUCACCAACCAUGGACAUCUUUAUAUAGUAUGGAAACUAGGGUUAAACCCAUGACCUUUCAUUUCAUAUGAUCCAUGGGUUAAACACUCCAUGGACUAUCCAUGAAAGCUUAGCCCAACCUAAAUGAACUUGGCCCAUUCCAUAUAUAUAAGAGUCCAUAUUUAAUUAGUUCAUUUUGAUCACUUAAUUAAUUCUAAAUUAAUUCUUGAUCAAUACUAAUUAAAUAAUAUGAUUCCAUAUUAAUAUAUUAGAACUUAUAAUAUAUUAAUAUUAAUCAUAAACAUACUAUUCUCAAAAGAUUAUCCAUAUAAAUUGUGUCGGUGAAGUGCAACCCAAAUGGACCAUGCCGGGUCGGGUCAAGUACAUACCAAAUAUAGUUAUGGACUUAGACAUUAAUCCAACAGUCUCCCACUUGGAUAAGUCUAAAACUAUUAUUGCGUAUGACUUCAAACCUAACUGGCAAUCGUAGCUCUUAAAGCCGCUGUCGAACUCUGAUCUUGUCAACGAACUUGUCCAUUAGAUAAGGGAUCAUAUAUUCCUCCAUUCUAGAUAUCAUAUGGACUGAGACAUGGAUUAUAAUCAUUCUCUCUGUCCAUUUGUUGUUUCCCGAUUUCCGAUUUAUGACGACUGACUAAUUGAACAAAUCAAAUCAGUCCUGGCCCGGCCGAGCACUUCCAUUUGUCAUCAUCAAAUCAUCGAGGGGCCCACAGAUAUCGCUUUUAUCCCGAAGGUAAAAGGAAUGGAUAAACUUCGACUCAUAUGGCUUGUUCUACUACUUGUUGAAUCAUACACAAAGGCACGUUUUAUAGCACCGAGUUACCAAAUGCGUUUUCGUGCAAUCAAUGUACAACCAACUCAUAGUAACAACUCAUAUCUCUAGGUUUGAAGAAUAUAAGAUAUUAUCGUCUCAUGAUCACUCGUGAUAAAAUCCAUGAAGUGAUUCCAAUGAGCGCGGGUUGAAUCCAAUACUCAGAACUUAUGAGCACUCAUGAGUGUUGUAGCCCUUUGUCCAACACCUUAGACCUCUACAAGCCAACCCAUGACAGUCUUAAUUCAUAUCUACUUCCAACAUAUGACCGACUGUGGAUGGUUUGAAUAACUUAGUCAUUCCGGAAGAAUAACCUAGUUUAUUCGGGAAGUCAAAACAUGCAAAGUGAAACACAAUAAUAAUUGAAUCCAAUAUGGUAUCAAAACUUAUGAACAUAAAUAAAACACCUUUUAUUUAUCACCAUAUGAUUACACAUUAUUCAUUGUAUACUGUUUCAGCUAUCAACUUUAUUCUUGAAUUUAAAACAAUAGUUGUCCCAUGCUCCAAGCAUGUACACUAUGUUUUCUUAAACACUAGUCAUGCCACACACCAAGUAUGCAUACUAUGUUUGUCUAUGAUCUUUACUUUGUGAACUAGAUCAAUUGAACAUAACUUCAAUGAUUCUCUUUUCACACUCCCAAAUCCUUACUGCAAAUGCAAGAAUUCCAAAUUCAUGCCAUUUACUGAAAUCUGUUAGAUUCUAAACUUAUAUGCAUUGAUCCUCUUGUAAUGAUUAUGCACAAAGUCAGAAAGACUUGACAACAAUCAUUACAGAGUAUUCCAAAGGAGAUCAGCUCCUUGGAAACAUCCUUCUUGCAUUAAGUUUCCUAAUCUUAAACAGAUUGAAAAUUCUAACUUUGAAACAUUUCCAGAUUCCAUUUUGACUAUCACUUCUGAACAAGAGUUGCCUCCUUACAGAUUAUGUCAAUAUGGUCCUUCCAGAAUUAUCACUAUACUUCCAACUGUCCUUGAGCAACCAAUCUUUGGUAAACCUUAGAUUGUCCUCGACAAUUGUUUAAUCCUUUUAGUCAUAUCCAGUUCUAAACCUUUUCCCUUCUUAAUGCCCCAGGCAUUUGGAAAAUUUUAGAACGGAUGAAUAUAGCACAUGUAAUCGAUCCUAUAUCCGAAGCAUAUGGGACACGAUUCAUGAUGUCUCACAUAAAGACUAAACCAGUCUUUUGCUAUAAUAUUUCCAUUUCAAUUUGCCAAGUUCUCAUAAUUCAGAUUAUGAAAAGGGAUGCCGUAAUCAUAAUCGAAUUUUAGAACGCAAAUAAUGGACCCAUAUACAGAAUUUCCUUAUGUUGAGCCAUUCCAACAUGAAAUUCAUAUAUAUCCUUGACUAAAUGAUUAAAACCUCACGAUCUAAGCUUAUAGAUUUGAGAUGAAGCAUAAUUUCCUCUCCCUUAAUUAUAGCAAAACAACUUUUUCCCAAUUGAAACUUUUGUUUUCUAUAAUUAACAUUGCUAACUUGCAAUACUUAUCAUAAUUAUCAUGCUCCCACUAACAUGAUGAUUAUUAGCAUAACACUUAUGCUCCCACUAGCUUUGACAUGUACUCAGAAAUCAGCUGGACUUCUAGAAAUCAAUACUUCAUUGACUUUCUUACCAAAGUUCAGAUUUCUGAUACUAGAUUGUUUUGAUAAAACUUUAUCAAAAUCAUACACCUUCCCUUAGAUAGCACACUUGUGUAUCUAAACAAUUAUGAAGAGGGAUGCCGUAAUCAUAAUGUUUAGACCUUUUUGCCACUUCUCACAAGUCCAAAUUAGUGUGCCGGUUAACCACACGCGCUCCACUAACGACUUUGAGAAUGCAAAUAUCACAAUUGCUAUCUAGCUAAAAUCUACUUAGUGAAAGUGUUUCCUCACCAUCAUUUUCAUGAAUCGGAGAGAAACCUUAUGACACUUAGAUUUAAUGGUGUAUGUGUUCUUAUCCAUGUGAAUUGUCAAAACCAUAGUCACAAGACAAGGAUAAUGACAAAUCCAAACUCAUAUGGACUGAACUCAAUCUUAAUUUCUUGCCACCUGGCAGCUCAAGGGCCUGCCAUUGCUUCCAAGUUGUUGUGCAACAAAUUGAGAACUCUAAGAACUCAUAUGCAAAGCCAACUUUAACUGGAAUGGGCACAGAUAUGUCAACACGAUAGGUUAUAAACCUCAAGUCGUGUGCUAGUGAAGAACUUCAGGUUUUAUUCUUGAUUAGUUCUUGAGACUUUCAAGACCUUUAAGACUCCCACUGUCCUCUUGACAUAUAAGACUCCCUUGUCAAACAUCCAAGAGAUAGUGCGGAUUCUAAUCAAGAAAAACACUUUACCCAAUUGGCCUAAGUUGGUCUUUGUUUUAUCCAAAACAUCACAACUUACCAAUUUCAAAUGUACAAGAGUAGAAAACUUUUACUCUUACAUUUGACAAGUGUUUUAAACCUUCUUUAAGACAUGUCACUCAAAUGACAAUCUUGGAGUAUGACUCUAAGACUUGUAUUGGAACGAAGUAUGACUCAUCUUCUUGAUUUAACCAUUUCAACAAUUCAAGUUCCUCUUCUUAGUCAUAAGAAUGCACUAAGAUUUCCUUAGAGAACUAAUUUUGAUAUGGUUUCUUAAUCAUUAAGAUGAUCACAAAACUGAUACUAAAGUACUCUCCCAUCUUUUCAGAUUUGAGAAACUUUUAUCCUUCUGCCUUAUUUGAUUCUUCUUAUCGAUCUUUAGUGGUGGACUUAACCAGUGCACAAGAAUGUGUACUCGAUCCCUUAGUCCUUUACUUGACUCACACAUCCAUGUGAACAAGUAAUUAGUCUUAAUUUUUCAAUACUUGAAAGUUCUCAUUCAUCAUGCUAUACAACUUGCAUGAUUCCAAGUUCCGGUCCAAUUGAAACUUGGGUGAUGAGAAUCUUUCCUUAUUUGGUAAAUUUAGACAUUACCACAAAUGAAAGAAUCAAAUUCAUAUUUCCAGUAUUGCUAUCAAUGGAAUCAUAUAAGCAACAUCCUUUCCUUUUUCUACAAAUGCCAUUGUAAGGAUAUUUUAAAAUAAAUAAAAUUAAAAAUUUUUCUUUUAUUUUAAAACUUUGCGGAAAAACUAAUCCUUAAAAUGCAAAUGUAUAUGAAAACUUGUUGUCAUCUAUUCCUAAGCAAUCUAUUAUAACUCUUAAGCACAUGCUAAAAAUAUUGAUUACCAAACCAUGCGAUCCAUCUUCGCGAUCAGAAUCAGCAUAUACUUCCUUUAAGUUUCUUUACUUUUCUUUGAUUCUUAAAAUAUUAACAUGUGACCCAGUCACAUCAUGUAAUAAGAAUCUCCAAGCAGGAACUUAAUAGAGUUAGACAAUGGAAUUUACCUGAAAUAAAGUCAAACUUAUUGACUUUACCAUCCUUAGGUAAGUUUGACAGCUUCAUAACCAAAGCCCCUUCCUUUGGCAAUAUAAACAUAUGGAUCCUUUGGUAAUGGUACACGGGACUAUCACAGACUUAGCUUUUCUCUUUACCAUUUGGUCAACCGAGUUGACUAUGGCCGAUCCCUUUCCAUUGGGAAGAGAGUGCUUUACUGGAUAUCCAAUGUCAUCAUUGUCAAUGUCCAUAAAGUUUUAGGAAGUUGAUCUUAGCAAAUAGAUAAGAUCAUUAAGGGUCUUGUCAUAGUCUGUUUCAUAGGUGUCCCAAAGGAACUCACUAUGUGACUUAGAAAGUGAUUGAACCACCAACUUUCUCAAGACUUUGACACCCAACUCUCCCGGCUUGUCAAUAUGUGACUACAUCUCCAAGAUGUGAUCACACCUAGACCUUGCCUUGCCAAUAGGGCCUGAGUGACCUUAAACUUUUCAAGAACUUGUGGGUUAGGGAGAAUAAUUUGAAGAGGUGAAGAAGUAUGAUAUCCAUGGGACAUCAUCUUCAUUAGGAAACCUUGUUUCAAGAGAUUUGGGAAGAUCAUAGGUGUCUAAACCAGACAUCUUUUGGGAGAUAUUCAAGAUAGUUGAUUUAAAGUCCUUAAUAUGACACCCAAUAUGAAAUAUUAAGGCUAGGACCCAACAAACUAUUUUAUAACUUAGAAGAGGUAUGCCGUAAUCCAAGCUAUAAAAUAUUUGAAGGUAGGUGAAUGACGAUUCACCAAUUUCCACCAAGAUAAACGAAAUGUAUUAUUAGGUUUUAAUUGGUUUUGAAACUCCUAGAUCUUUGAGAUUCAUUGAACUUUUCAAAGGCAUGUUUCAAUCUCGAGUGUGCCCUUCAGGUUUUGUGACUGGGAUGCCGAGGAUCACAAAACAAGGUGUGAAGUAACCAUGCAAAUCACUUGGUACCCUUAAUAAAUUACCCCUCAAUCGAUGUGCCGGUUAACCACACACGCUCCAUCGAUACUAUGAUAAAUAUUAAGUCACCCUUUACCUACCUUGUUAAGUCCAAGUUAGUGUGCCGGUUAACCACACACGCUCCACUAACGACUUAAACAAAGUGCAAAGUGUAAUUUCAUGGAUUAGCACCUUAUUCACAUUUUUCCUAAGUAACUAAGAUUGGGUAUUAUUAAGAGUUUAGUUACUUAGUAUUAUCAUUAAUACUUUUAAUGAAGGGAGAAUUCUAGUCCUGUCAAACCCGUUCGGCUAACGACCCUCCACCAGUCAAGCAAGCGGUGGGUGAGAGUGGACACCCAUUAAGUUGCCAUUUUAUAGGCAACAACCUUAUACCCACCUUAUAGACCGGCUUCGUGAAUGAGGCGUACUAGCGGUAAGACUGACUUUACUCUUAUACAUAUAUAUAUUAUUAACUUAUAAUAUUAUAAAGUAUAAGGGUUGAAUUUUAACUUUUAAAAUUCUAAGGGCUAACUUGGAAUUAAAGUAUUCAUAAGUGAAAACUUUUCAAAUUCCAAAACUUGAGGGCAAGUUUUGAAACUAUUCAAAACUAAUUAAUUCCAUAACUUAUGUGUUUAAAGUAGUUUUAAUCCAAAAACUCUUCAAGUUCCAUAACUUGAGGACAAGUUAUGGAAGACUUUAAACUAAUAAAAGAAUUAACUUUUCUUUAUUUUAUAACUUAUGGAAUUAAUUAAGGUUACACUUUUUUUUUUAUUUAUUAUUUAAUGAAGAGACUCUUGGUCCUCCAUAACUUGAGGACAAGUUAUGGAGUCAUAAAACCAUUUAAUUAGAACUAGACUCUUCAUUUUGUAACCUUUGCCAACUUUUAUGAGUUUUAUGAAACUUAAAUGUGACUUUUCAUAUAACUUGAGGACAAGUUACAAAAACACAUUUUAGAAUCAACUCUUAGAUUAAUUUGGAUUGAAAACAACUAUUUCACUCAACUUUUCUAUUAAUCUAAGCAACUCAUAAGAACAAGAUAAUUCAAAUCAAACUUUUUCAUGUAAUUAGUCUAAACCUUAAACUAAUACAAAACAUGAAUCUAUUGACAAUUAUCUUUGAAAUUGGAUUAGCAUGAACAUUACCACAUCAAAAACAAGUUUAUAAGUCCAAAAACAUCUUAGGGUAAUGUUCCUAGUCCAAUUCCAGCCAAAAAAGUCGAAUUUAUGCUGUCUGGGGGUCCAACUCGUCGAGUGCAUGAACCAACUCGGCGAGUUGGAUCGAUUUGAUCACUUUUUAGGCAUGGACUCGCCGAGUCUCCUGAUGGACUCGCCGAGUCUGAUGAUCAGACAGCAACAAUUUCGAUUUUUUAAGCAGUUUUGCAAGUAUAACAAGAAAACAAGCCUAGGAUCUGAUACCACUGUUGGGUUUUGAGCAUUCUAACACUCCUAUGGUGUAAAUGCAACCCUAUAAACCUUGGAUCUAUGUUUUCUCUAUUAUACAUGCAAAUAAGAAGUUUCCAAGGCUUUAAUCCUAACUAGAGUAUUAUGAAGCUCUUAUACUACAAGGUUCUAGUUAGAUGACAUACCUUUUGAUGUAGCUUGAUGUCUUCAAGCUUUAAGAGCUUAGCCCCAAUAGUGUGGAAGCCUCAAGUGGAAUCACAAAUCACCAAAAACACCUUGGAAGACUUUAGAGAAUAUGGAUACUUGGUUCUCUCUAGUGAAAUCGGCUAGCCCUUCUUAGUGUACCACACUAGUGCCAAUUUCACCAACCAAGGACAUCUUUAUAUAGUAUGGAGGAUUAGGGUUAAACCCUAAUACCCAUGACCUUUCAUUUCCUAGGAUCCAUGGGUUAAACACUCCAUGGACUAUCCAUGAAAGCUUAGCCCAACCUAAAUGAACUUGGCCCAUUCCAUAU